UACGGGGGGGGCAAGCGUUGUUCGGAAUUACUGGGCGUAAAGGGUUCGUAGGUGGCUCGCUAAGCCAGACGUGAAAUCCCUCAGCUUAACUGGGGAACUGCGUCUGGGACUGGAGAGCUGGAGUGCAGGAGAGGAACGCGGAAUUCCAGGUGUAGCGGUGAAAUGCGUAGAUAUCUGGAGGAACACCGGUGGCGAAGGCGGCGUUCUGGACUGCAACUGACACUGAGGAACGAAAGCCAGGGGAGCAAACGGG
rnacentral:rRNA from 1 species